UACGGGGGGGCAAGCCGUUGUUCGGAAUUACUGGGCGUAAAGGGCUCGUAGGCGGCCAACGUAAGUCAGACGUGAAAUCCCUCGGCUUAACCGGGGAACUGCGUCUGAUACUGGAUGGCUUGAGUUUGGGAGAGGGGAUGGCGGAAUUCCAGGUGUAGCGGUAGAAAUGCGUAGAUAUCUGGAGGAACGACCGGUGGCGAAGGGCGGCAAUCCUGGACCCAACAGUUGACGCUGAGGAGCGGAAAGCCAGGGGAAGCAAACGGGGAUUAAGAAACCCGUGGUAACGUCCGAG
rnacentral:rRNA from 1 species